UGAAAGGAAGCUUUGAAUAUUUGAUGGAGCAUCAUAUUUUUAAUAUGAACAACUUAGAUAAAAAGUCUUUUAU
rnacentral:tRNA from 1 species